CUACACAGACCCGCACUGACCUGGAAAAGCUUCGGGAGCGGCGACGGGAAGGCAGCAGGAGGUGGUGCGGGGACCCGAGGCGCCUCGUACCCGGCCGGGCUGACGCGGCCCCGCUACACACAAAGCGCUUCAGCUGCACAGGGCGCUAUUUUCCGAAAAUGCCGCGUCUGGUCGGCGCCCAAAAUCCCCACCGAAAAGUCCCCCGUGCUGCGCGCGGAGGGACACAUGGUGUGCGAGUGAGUCAAGCUCCCAGCAUCCCUCCCGGACCCGGCCCUCUUCAGCUCAUCGCCCGAGGAUUUUCCGCCUCUGCCCUCGUCGGCAGAUCCUGCUCCUACCCACUCCCUAGCUGUGUUCCCGCGGGGAGAGAGGGGAAAGAGGGUCUGAUUUUUUAACGAAGGGAAAGAAAAUAUGCCAUUUCUAGCGCUUCAGCCACACAAAGAAAGCGGCGGAAUGAUCCGCUCUCGGCGACCGCAAGUCCCGGCUCGCCCGGCGCCUGCGCGGCAGCGGGGGUGGGAGCUGCGGACGGCCAUGUGCGCGGCGGAGAGGCCGGGUGGCCACCGAACCUUCCCGCCUGUUCUGCGGUGGGUAGGAGUUUGGAAACUAAUGUUCCUGUGCUAACCUUCGUGUCUCUGUGACAUGACUGUUGAAAGACGGAGAGUGCGGAAUCUUUGGAGUUUUAAGCUUGCCAACUGUGCGGCCUAGCAGAAUCCUGGGAGACGGAAGGACAGCCAAGAGGCUAGGAUUUACCUUUAAGUGUCCCUAGAUUCAACUAGGCAGACUGGGACGGGAGACGCUGUGAAGGACUUGGGAAUAUGUGAGACAGCGCCAAGAAUUUAAUCCAGGAGAAUUGACAAGCUUAAAUGAAAUCCAUAUUGCCCACUGAUUUUGUGCAGCUUCAGAUAAGUAAUCUUUCUCCACUUAGCCUUUUGUAACAAUUGAUGUAAUAAAGGUUUGUAGUCUUUGUGUAAUUUAUUAAAGCAUUGUGCCUAAAAUAGAAAAAAAGCAUAGGAACCAUAGGCUGUGUUUUCUUUUGAUUUAAUAUUUUCAUUUCUUCAGUUAAUAGAAAUUUGCCAAAUUCUGAUGUUUUUCUGUAGCAUUAUUUGAAUGAGCAUUGUUUAUUUGAGUGAACAUUCAGCUAAUUGUUACAGAAUCGUUGCCCCCAUUAAUCUUAGGCUGUAGAAUGUAGACAAGUAAAUAGGCAUCAUCAGUAUGAUGAGAGUGAAGCUACUUAAUACUGUGGAAUCAAAUAAAGGAGGAACCCCUUACUAAACCAAGAGGGAGGAAUAAAAUGGAAUGGGACUAGAGAAGCAAUUAGCUUUAAUAAGGGUAUUAUGGAAGACUUUCUAGAUGAGAAGCAGUAAGUACAGAUGUUUGGAGGCAAACACUAGAGAGAUUGUUGGGUAAAGAAGACAAUGCUGGAGGUCUACUUGUGAAGGCCUUGAAUGCUAUGUGCAGAAGUCAGCUUCUGAGAACCAGGAAGAAGAUAUUGAAAGAUUUUAAGUAGAAGAAUCAUAGGAUUGAAUUCAUUUUAGACAGAUCACUGUUACACAAAAAUUUGAGGCAAACAGAAGAGUUUGGAGUAAACAGUAGGCUGUGAGCCAGUAAUGACUUGGACUGAGUUGGUAGCAGGUAGGUGUGAAGAAAAUAAAGUGGUUAUUGGGAGAUUUGGUUAACUGAAAAUGACUGAGGGAGAUAGAUGUCAGGUGACUCCCAAGUGAGUUGGUGGAGCAGCUAGGAGGAUAGUAAUGUCUUCACUGAGAUUAGAAACAAAAUAAGAGAAUAUAUGUUAGGGAAGGAAGAAGUCUUUGUUUUGACCAUGUAAAAUUUGAAGUGCAUGUGAGCCAACCAGUCAUAUAUGUGUAGUGUGCAAUUAGAUAUUCAUUCAACACUGUUGGAAGAGCACCUACUCUGUGCCUGGUACUGUUCUACACACUGAAAUAGGUAAAGCAGCAGCAAAACAAAUGGUUCCUACUCCUGUUUUUUAGAGGGAAACAGCAUAUAAACAAGUUUUAAAAAUAAGAGGAGAGAGAAUAUCCCAUAAAUUCGUGAAGAAGGCUGGGUGCAGUGGCUCAUGCCAGUAAUCCCAGCAGUUUGGGAGGCCGAGGUGGGUGGAUCUCCUGAGUUCAGGAGUUAAAGAGCAGCCUGGCCAACAUGGCAAAACCCCGUCUCUACUGAAAAAAAUUAGCUGGGCAUGGUGGCACGCUCCUGUAAUUCCAGCUACUCCGGAGGCUGAGGCAGGAGAGUAGCUUGAACCCAGGACACGGAGGCUGCAGUGAGCCGAGAUUGCGCCACUGCACUCCAGCCUGGGCGACUGAACGAGACUCCGCCUCAAAAAAAAAGAGUUUGUGAGGAAAAUUAAAAGCUGAUUGGAUAAAGUGUUACUCUGGGGAAAAGAGAGCAAACUUUUGGUGGUUGGUUGAUCAGAGAUGGCCUCACUGAGAAGGUAUUAGAAAGGACAAGAACAGUGUGAGACCAAAGGGAAUAGCUGGGCAAAGGCCCUAAGGUGAAAAAUUUGUUGUGUUUAGGGAAUAGCAAGGUCAGUGUAUCCGAAAUCUAGUGACCAAAAGAAGGAAUGAUAGGAGGUGAAGUCUUCAGCCUCAAUAAGAAGGUGAAGUGCACUGGAAGCCAUUGAAGGAUUUAAGAAAUGGAGUAUCUGGCCGGGCGCGGUGGCUCACGCCUGUAAUCCCAGCACUUUGGGAGGCCGAGGUGGGAGGAUCAAGAGGUCAGGAGAUGGAGACCAUCCUGGCUAACAUGGUGAAACCCCGUCUCUAUUCAAAAUAAAAAAUUUUUUUAAAAAUUAGCCAGGCGUGGUGGCGGGCGCCUGUAGUCCCAGCUACUCGGGAGGCUGAGGCAGGAUAAUGGCGUGAACCCAGGAGGCAGGGCUUGCAGUGAGCCGAGAUCGUGCCACUGCACUCCAGCCUGGGCGACAGAGCGAGACUCCGUCUCAAAAAAAAAAAAAAAAAAAAAAGAAAUGGAGUAUCAUGGACUAGGAUAGUAGCAGUAGAGAUGAGGGAAGUGGAUGGAUCCAAAAAGCUGACCUAUCUUGCUUACCAAUUAAAUGAGGAAAGGGAGGAAUCAAUAGUGAUGCCUAGGUUUGGGGCAUGUUGUCUAGGUGGAAUUAAUUUUAAUUACACUUUUAACCCCUAGCAUAUCCAAAUAUUAUUUCACAUGUGAUCAACAUAAAAAAUUACUAAAUAUUAAAAAUAUUUUACAUUAUCUUUCUCAUAACUAAGCAUUUGAAAUCUGGUGUGUAUUUUAUACUUAUAGCAUAUCUCAGUACUUGAUUUCAUAAAAUUUCCAGCUGAAAAAAUAGAUUCACGUACCCAAGUCGUUCCAAGCAUACUUAAAAGUUUUACGGUAAUCGAAUCGUGUAUAUUUUUAAAUUUUAUUUUAAAUUAAAGUUAGGAUUAUGAAUUCAGUUCCUAAAUUAGCCUCAUUUCACUUCUGCAUUUCAAGUGGGACAAGUUAUUACCAUAUUGGACAAUGCAGUCUAGUGAAGUAGAGGAUAGUGGAAAGUCAGACUUAAAAAGUUGUUUAGAACCAGCUCUGGAAGGCCUUGGAUGUCAGAUUAAAGGACUGAGAUUUUACCCUUGAGUCAGGCAGAAUAAUGGAUGGUUUUUGAACUAAGGAGUGACACAAGGUUGUGCUUAUGACUAGAAGGAGGCCACUAGGUGGCCAGCUGGUGAGUCAGGACACCCUUCAGUUGCUUUGACUUCAGCCCUGUGGAUUCAAAGUCUGAUUUUUGUCAGCGCUCUAGAGCAGUCUCACCAAAAGUGUGGUCCACAAGGCAGUGCCAGUCUGUAAGCCCUUUGUUACACAUCCAUGUCAAGGCAUUUACAGAAAGUAAGAAUUUAGAAACUUAUAGCAGUUUAACAGACUAAUUUUAUUUCUGUGGGUCUAAUAAAAAUUUGAGGGAUUGUACUUUGCAUAUUCUUUAUUUCCCUUUUUUUGUUUGUUUUUUGUGUUCGAGAUGGGAGUCUUUUUCUGUCGC
rnacentral:lncRNA from 1 species